GUCACAAAGAGCAUCGCGAGCGGACCCUCGCCGCGGCGUCCUGGGGGCUGCAGCAGCUCCCGCCACGCCCCGCGCGCCCUGUGACUGUGAGCCAGGGCGUACGGGCGGGAGUGAGGAGCGCGGCAGAGUCUAGCGAAGGGGGCAGAAAGGGGCAGUUGCUGGGUGCUAAGCUGGGGGGAGGGGGCGUCAGGCUGAGGUGGGAAUGGGGCGCAUGCUGCUCUGGCCCACAUGACCAGUAAAGACUGGGAGCUGGCCACGCGAUGCCUCCCUCUCUACAGUGCAAGCCAGGGCAGGAGCAGCCAUUUUAAAAAAUUUUUUCCUGGUGCUGCUUUUUCUUUUCUUUUUGUUUUGCUUUCACUGCAGGAGCCAGAGUGAGUGCACCAGCCACCCCACUCCAGUUCUUAACUCCUAGCUGGCCACGUUCUACUUCACCCCGGCAAUGUGGCACACCCCGCGGCCAAGAUGCUGUAAUCGCUGCCUCCGCACAGUGGAGCACAGCGAGAUGGGAAAUGGGGCAGGCUGCCAGAUCACUCCAGCUCCUGCCUCUGCGGUGGGGUAGAGGGAGAACACCUGCAGCUGCCAGGCACCAAAAAAAUCCUCUGCUGUCCACCCCAUGCAUAGGUUGAGGCAGCUGCUGCAGGACUCCCCAAAAUGUGAAGUCUGGGUUCGCUCUGGUUCCUGCUCCAUCUGUAGUCCCAGGGGCAGCCUUUCUCUGUUGCUCCCUGGAUGACUAUUAGCUGUUGAGGGCCAAUCUAGAUAAUUACAUGUGCAGUACUACUACAAAGCAAGCAGUAUGAGGAUAGCAGUGUAUCCCACUGAUUCCAGUGAGCCGAAAAAUGGCAGCAGCUGACACACAACGUGACAUCCUAUGUGGCAGGGAUGUGCCCCAGCGCCUCUAAGAUUGAGAGUUCAUAAUCUGGGGAAAAUCUAGCUUGCUGCAUCAAUUAUGAGUGUUAAAAGUUUGCUUGAGUCCUAACACCUGCUUAGAUUAAAAAUGAAGCACUGAAAAAAGAAAAGCUAUUACAGAUUGUGUGACUAUAACUUUGGAGAAGCAGGAACAGAUAGAAGUAUAAUUUCAAUGCAAAAAAUAUUACUAAAAGAGAGUCCUAUGAAAACUUUAUUUAUAGAUGUCAAGUUAACAUGUCUGUUUCAAGUUAUGCUCUGUAUAUGGGCACAUUUCCACAGUGAAUUACAUGCAUGUGGCACUCUUGUUUAUACAAAAGUCACUUGCAUCCAAAAGACAGAAUUUGGCCUCUAAUUUUAUACUCAGUGGCUCUGUCUACACUGGUGGGUUCUUGCGCAAGAACAUCCAUGGCAGUGUGGACGCUCUCUUGCGCAAGAAAGCUCUGAUGACCAUUUUAGUCAUAGGGCUUUCUUGCGGAAGUGCAUCCACACUGCCAUGUUACACUUACACUUGUUAGAAAAGAGCAUAGCUCUUUUACAAGAAGCCCUGUCUUCUGACACCGUUGUAAAUCUUGCGCAAGAGCAGGAGGGCAGUGCGGAUGCUCUGUGGGUUUUUGCGCAAUAAUGGCCAUUCUUGCACAAGAACCUGCCAGUGUAGACAUAGCCUAUAAGCGCAAACUUGUAUGAUCCUUACCACAGCUUUAAAGAAAAAAAAAGUUGAGAAAGUUCUUUCUGAUAAAGUUAAAAUACUUUCACUCAUAAUAAUUCUUUGUCCUUAUGGUGCAUUUCACUUAGGGUUUCAAAGCUCUUUGUAAAAAUAAAUUAAUGAAAUCGCCAUUGUUUUAAUACUUUCCUAGUGACAAAAAAGCAAAGAACAUAACUGUCUAGCCUUUAUAAAACAUAUAGCCACAUGAGGGUGCAAUUUAUCAGCAUAUCAAGAGCGUCUAUAGUUCUGUUAAUUGUCAUUUCACUAUUCCACAAAGAACUAGACAAAAUGAUCUAGACUACAAAUCAUGCAUUUAUGAAAGCUGCAUAAAAUACCAUCGCAUGAAUGAAAAUGAGCUUUAUUCCAUAGGAUCCUUUCUCUGUAAUUAUGGAUGUGAUUUGUAAAUGAUAUUUUAAUUAUUUCUACCAGUCAUAGUUAGAAAAAUAGGUUUUUCAGGAAUAAUUACUGGAAAAGGUAGGCAAAUCAUUUGUAUUCAUCAGCAGUAUAUCCUCUCGUUAACCAUUAUGUUAUUUUAUUUUCUGUUUGCAUUUUCAUAUUUUAAACCCUUCUAUUUAUAAUGAUUAAAUUCUCUUUUUUAUAUUUGGUUCUAUUUUUGUUUAGCCUCUGAUUAAUAUUGCAUGAAAUAAGAUUAUAUUUUUAAAGUACAGGGUUAAAUUUUCAAAUAAUACUUGAAAUAUUUCUCAGUUCUUUUCUUCCAUUUGUUAAUGUGGGCCUUGAAAUGUAAUAAUGGCCUAUGAAUGACAAUAUAAUCAGUUAUUUAUCAUGGAUUUGCUUGUGCAAAAGGCAAAAAUCUAAUUUUCUUUGUGUGCAGUGUUGGUAUAGCUGUGACAGUCCCAGGAUUUUGGAGCGACAAGCAUAGUAGUCUGAUGGCACCCAUACAUCAUGAGAAAUACAGUCUGCGUAGGGAGCCCAGCCAACAAAGCCAGAUGAACCCAUGUGGAACCUGUACUACAACUUCAAUGAAACACCAUACUGGCAUUCCAAUAGCAAAAUGUUUGACUUUUCAAUUAAAUGUUGAUUUUUCCAUGCAAUCAGGAACAUUGCACAAACAAAAAACUGUUUAGUCAAAACUUCAAUAUUGCAUUGAAUAGUUGAAAAACUAUUUAAACAAAUUGUUUGACCAGGUCUAUAUACAGCACAAUAAUAUAUCAACAUUACAGCCAUAUUACUAUUAACAUCAUCAUCAUGAAAGGAGAAUAAUCUGUCACUGCCAAGCUGCAAGUACAUGGAACAGGUCUCCAAGCCUUCUGCUACAGUAAGGAACAAUCAGUUAUUUGUUGAUAAAAAAUAAUAAGUCCUUUUGACAUCGAGUCUGGUAACAUCUCUUCAUGAGUAAUAGCAAAAUAUAUCCUAAAAUAAUAAACAGAGUAAUGAGAUUAAUGUCAGAUAAGCAUUGAUAUGAACGAGAGUGAAAGUGGAAGUUGAACUUAAUAUAGCUCUCAAUACAACUCUUGAAGACUUUAGGCAAAAAAAUGCUACUGAGGUCAAACUAAAAUGCAUCACUACAGUUAGAUAAAGUUCAACUUGUUUUUAUUUUGCAUCAUGGAGCUCAAUAUUUGCAUUUGUGUAUCAGCCACAAAGAACUCUGUAAACACUAGGGAUGUAAAAUCCUGUUUAGUUCAUUAACUGGUUAAAUAUCAAAUUUAACCAGUGAACUGAUUAAAUAGAGUGGGGGGUUGCUCCCCGACAAAUCACAUCUGCCUGUCUGAGCUAGAGUGCCCCCUGUGACAGACCCGGCCGGGUCCGCACUGACCGCGGGGGAGAGACCCCC